CCUACGGGAGGCAGCAGUGAGGAAUAUUGGUCAAUGGGCGCGAGCCUGAACCAGCCAAGUAGCGUGAAGGAUGACUGCCCUACGGGUUGUAAACUUCUUUUAUAAAGGAACAAAGUGAGGCACGUGUGCCUUUUUGUAUGUACUUUAUGAAUAAGGAUCGGCUAACUCCGUGCCAGCAGCCGCGGUAAUACGGAGGAUCCGAGCGUUAUCCGGGUUUCUUGGGUUUAAAGGGAGCGUAGAUGGGUUGUUAAGUCAGUUGUGAAAGUUUGGGGCUCAACCGUAAAAUUGCAUUUGAUACUGGCAGUCUUGAGUACAGUUGAGGUAGGCGGAAUGCGUGGUGUAGCGGUGAAAUGCUUAGAUAUCACGAAGAACUCCGAUUGCGAAGGCAGCUUACUGACCUGCCACUGACAUUGAUGCUCGAAAGUGUGGGUAUCAAACAGGAUUAGAUACCCUGGUAGUC
rnacentral:rRNA from 1 species